rnacentral:lncRNA from 1 species
AUGUGGGCCAGCGGGGAGCUGCAAAGGAAAGGACAGUCACAAGCCUUCAAGGACAUGGUAGAAGCAGACAUCUGGGCAUUUCAUGGUGUUUGCAGGUGCUGGUUCCUCAGCCCGGGAUGUCCUCUUCCUGGACCCAGGGAGUCGCUAGCUAGCUCUGCCCAGACCUGCCCUCCUGGGGAGAACUGCCCUGACCCCCAGCCUCUGUAUCUUCCUCCCGGCGCUGAGCCCUCUCUGCCAGCUUCCUCGCUGGCACCUGACCUCCCCACUACUAAAUACACACGGAUUUCCGAGGCUGGCGCUCUGGACCUUGGAUGGCACUUGGCCAGUGGCAGGUGGCUGCACGGACGGUCAGACCCCCCACGUGGCUGCCAGGCCUCGAGAAAGCAGGUCUUGGGUUCCUCCCCCAGGGGCGGGCACCGUUAGAACCCGUUACAUCCUGGGUUUACAUCUGACCUUCGAUGCUUGGGGGCCUUCGGGUGAGUUUCACAGUGUGUUCGUGCCUCAGUUUCCCUAUCUGUAUGAUGGGGACAAGGCCCGUGCCUGUCACAUAGUGUCACGAGGAUUCAAUGAAUUAAGAGGUGAAAACGUUUAGCCCAGGCCCUCGCACGUGGUCCCCUCCCCUUUGUGCUUUGAUUACUGGUUCUCAGAGGAUUUGACCAGCGCCACUACAGCCACCACUGUCGCCACGACUACGAGCGCUGCCGCGGGUGCCAUGGUUACCACGGUCACGGCUGCUCCUACAUCCAUCACCCCUUCUGCAGCCGCAUGGUUGCUAUGCUGUCACGACGAGUCCUGGUGCUCCGGUUACUACUAGGCUGCCUUACUAUCACCAGUACGACUGCUUCAGUGGCCUCUGCCACUGUGAGUACGAGUGUUGCCAUGGCUACCGCGACUCCCAGAGCAGCUCCUGUUCCUACUGCUUCUGUUACUGUUACUGUCUCUGCAAAUCCUGCUUCUAUUACAGCUAUUCUUCCUACUCCUAUUAUUCCUACUCCGGAAGCCACACGAUGCCAGGUUUAUUGCCAUUACACCCGCUGCAGCUGCUAUUAUUACUGCUGCUGUUACUGCUGCCAGUUCUCCUAGAGCAGCCGGUAUUCCUAUUAGGCCACACGACGCCUGCUGCUGAGACGAUCCUAAUAACCCAAUGAUUCCUCCUGGGGUUCCCAGUAGGACCACUGCGACUAGUACUGCUGCGAUGAUCCCUCUGGUGCUACUGGCCUGACUGCUGGUUAGUACUGGGACUCGCUGGUGAGGCUUGCAAUGCCCUCUAGCUUCCCUUGGGGUGCUGCCCACCCCAGGAUCUUUGCCCCGGGUCUUUCUUCCACACUGGCCUCUAGGAUGCUUUGCCCACUGUCCUGGGGGUGGGCGUGGCCUCCUUCAGGGACAGCACUGGGGGCUCUGCCCACCACACCCGGUGCUUGCAACGCAGGACCAUCUCACCUUGAACCUGAGUUCAGCCGAUAGAAGGGACAGUCUCACAUGGUGUCAGCUCAGACGUGCCACACCCAGGAACCCCCCUUUUCCUAGAGACCCCACUGUGGCCUUCGUCAGGCACCCAAGCUAACUGCCAACUCAUCCAUCAUAAAAACACCCAGUGUUGAGUUUCUGUUCAGUGAUAUUUCAGAGUUAUUCGAACCAAGAGUCCAAGGUUUAAAACCUCUCUCUUCCUCUUAAUAUCCAGUAUUUGGACACCGUUUUACAGGUACAAUAUUCCUUUAAAGAAUUCUUUUAAAGAAAAAGCAUGCCUUUAAUGGCCAAACACAGCCAGGAUCCUGCUUCCAGGCAAGACCCAGACUUGGGUCUAAGCUCCGCCUGCCCUGAGCAGUCAGCAAGCCGGCAGGCGCUGGGGCUGGACGGGCCUGGCUGUGUGUGCUCAGCUAAGUCUCUUCCCCUUUCUGAGCAUCUGUUUCUUCUUCCACGAAAUGGGGUGAAAACAGCAGGUUCCUCCAGGGGUUCAUACGCGGCUUCAGGGCUAAGGCAGCUCCCUGCUCAGCGGAGCGCCGGACACGGUGUCCUGACUGUGGACGUGAAGCCCCCGGACAAGAAGGACCCCACCCUCAUGGGCCUCUCGGUGUCUGGCGCGGAGCAGAGGCAGGGCCCUUGGAGGGAACGAACCCAGAAGAUGUCACAGGGCUGGUAGGCGGGGAGGCGGGUCCAGCGUGGCUCCUCUCUGCGGGCUCCCUGCCACCCCUGCCCCAGGCCCUCUCCUCCCGCCAGGACGGCCCUGCUCUCACGCCUCGUCCUCACUCCUCAGGGUUAAGCAUCACCACGUGCGCCUCCUUCGCAUCUAAAUCGACAAAGCGCUGCCUCUAGAGCAACUACAGGCGGCUCCUCUCCCUUAUUUUUAGCCAGUUCUUGAUGAGAGAAUUUCAGGCCGG